rnacentral:rRNA from 1 species
UGGGGAAUUUUGGACAAUGUGCGCAAGCCUGAUCCAGCCAUGCCGCGUGCAGGAUGAAGGCCUUCGGGUUGUAAACUGCUUUUGUACGGAACGAAAAGACUCCUUCUAUUAAAGGGGGUCCAUGACGGUACCGUAAGAAUAAGCACCGUCUAACUACGUGCCAGCAGCCGCGGUAAUACGUAGGGUGCGAUCGUUAAUCGGAAUUACUGGGCGUAAAGCGUGCGCAGGCGGUUAUAUAAGACAGAUGUGAAAUCACCGGGCUCAGCCUGGGGCCUGCAGUUGUGACUGUAUAGCUAGAGUACGGUAGAGGGGGAUGGAAUUCCGCGUGUAGCAGUGAAAUGCAUAGAUAUGCGGAGGAACACCAAUGGCGAAGGCAAUCCCCUGGAACUGUACUGACGCUCAUGCAAGAAAGCGUGGGGAGCAAACA